rnacentral:rRNA from 1 species
UCGAGGAUAUUUAGCAAUGGGCGAAAGCCUGACUAUGCGACGCCGCGUGAGGGAUGAAGGUCUUCGGAUCGUAAACCUCUUUCGAUGGGGAAGAAACCUUCCAGCAAAAUAUGUUGGAAACUGACGGUACCUAGAGAAGAAGCCACGGCCAACUCCGUGCCAGCAGCCGCGGUAAUACGGAGGUGGCGAGCGUUACUCGGAUUCAUUGGGUGUAAAGGGCAAGUAGGCGGUUAUGUAAGUUGGAGGUGAAAUACUUUGGCUUAACCAAAGAACUGCCUUCAAAACUACAUAGCUUGAGGCCAGAAGAGGAGAGCGGAAUUCCCGGUGUAAGGGUGAAAUCUGUAGAUAUCGGGAGGAACGCCAGUUACGAAAGUGGCUCUCUAGACUGGCCCUGACGCUG